AACGAACGCUGGCGGCGUGGCUAAGACAUGCAAGUCGAACGAUUGCGUUGUAGCAAUAUGGCGCAAUAGUGGCGGACGGGUGAGUAAUGAAUAGGUAACGUACCCCGGGCACAGGAAUAACGUCGGGUCCCGCAAGGGAUCCCUUGCGAAAGUGACGGUAAUACCUGGUGAAGUCAUCGGAAGGCAUCUUUCGGUGACCAUAGGGUGGGGACCUUCGGGCCUAUCGGCCUGGAGCGGCCUAUUUCCUAUCAGCUAGUUGGUGAGGUAAUGGCUCACCAAGGCAACGACGGGUAGCCGGACUGAGAGGUUGGCCGGCCACAUCGGGACUGAGACACUGCCCGGACAUCUACGGAUGGCUGCAGUAACGAAUAUUCCGCAAUGGGCGCAAGCCUGACGGAGCGACGCCGCGUGGAGGACGAAUUCCUUCGGGAUGUAAACUCCUUUUAGGGUUGGGAAAGCGCAAGGCGUUAAUAGCGUCUUGAGUUGAUCUAGCCC
rnacentral:rRNA from 1 species